rnacentral:rRNA from 1 species
UACGAAGGGGGCUAGCGUUGCUCGGAAUUACUGGGCGUAAAGCGCACGUAGGCGGCUUGUUAAGUCAGGGGUGAAAUCCUGGAGCUCAACUCCAGAACUGCCUUUGAUACUGGCGAGCUUGAGUUCGGGAGAGGUGAGUGGAACUGCGAGUGUAGAGGUGAAAUUCGUAGAUAUUCGCAAGAACACUAGUGGCGAAGGCGGCUCACUGGCCCGAUACUGACGCUGAGGUGCGAAAGCGUGGGGAGCAAACAGG